rnacentral:tRNA from 1 species
GGCCCCCGUAGCUCAGUGGGAGAGCGCCCGAUCGUUGAUCGGGAGGUCGGCGGUUCGAUUCCGGCCGGGGUCA